UACGGAGGGGGCAAGCGUUGUUCGGAAUUACUGGGCGUAAAGGGCGCGUAGGCGGAGCGGCCAGUCAGGUGUGAAAUCCCCGGGCUCAACCUGGGAAUGGCACUUGAUACUGCCGCUCUAGAAUCCGGGAGAGGAGAGUGGAAUUCCCAGUGUAGAGGUGAAAUUCGUAGAUAUUGGGAAGAACACCAGUGGCGAAGGCGGCUCUCUGGACCGGUAUUGACGCUGAGGCGCGAAAGCGUGGGGAGCAAACAGG
rnacentral:misc_RNA from 1 species